rnacentral:rRNA from 1 species
CCUACGGGAGGCAGCAGUGAGGAAUCUUGGUCAAUGGACGAGAGUCUGAACCAGCCAAGUAGCGUGAAGGAUGACUGCCCUCUGGGUUGUAAACUUCUUUUAUAUGGGAAUAAAAUGUUCCACGUGUGUGAUUUUGUAUUUACCAUAUGAAUAUGGAUCGGCUAACUCCGUUCCAGAAGCCGCGGUACUACGGAGGGUGCGAUCGUUAUCCGGAUUUAUUGGGUUUAAAGUGAGCGUAGGUGGAUUGUUAAGUCAGUUGUGAAAGUUUGCGGCUCAACCGUAAAAUUGCAGUUGAAACUGGCAGUCUUGAGUACAGUAGAGGUGGGCGGAAUUCGUGGUGUAGCGGUGAAAUGCUUAGAUAUCAGGAAGAACUCCGAUUGCGAAGGCAGCUCACUGGACUGCAACUGACACUGAGGCUCGAAAGUGUGGGUAUCAAACAGGAUUAGAUACCCUAGUAGUC